UAACUAAUUAGUAUGUAACGUGACUCACUGUGCUUCCCCCUUUAUACCAGAGACCUGGCCUUUUCCCAUUUUUCCUUCGUGCCAUUGAGCUUCACCAAAUCAGAGAACCACUCUCCCCAUUUCGUCACUCAUCACUCUCCCGCCGUCACUUUGCUCACUCACUGUCGCUCCUCUUCCCCACUCACCACUCACCUCUCAUGCAUGACUUCGCCAUCGAUCACGAGAACCAUCGCUCCUCUUCGUCUUCCUGCUCUGACCGUCGCUGCGAGCUCAACGGCGGGAAGACUCGGCGCUCUCAAUAUACAGUCAGAGUGUGGGAGUGGCGACAGAGAACUUCGUAAUCGUGCAGAAGGGAGCUUCAUUUGCAGGUAGUAAGUGACAGCACAGAAGGAUCGAGCUCCAUUUGCCGCUUGUGGAACAAUGGCGUAGAAGGGAGCUGCUGGGGAGCAAUCAUCGAAUUGGGUGGGGCUUGGGUGAUCCUUUGGCUUGCUAUGCUUUGGGCCUCUUGUGGCCCUGGCGCUGGUCCAAAAAAAAAAAUCACAGCAAUACAUACAUAUGCGUUAUUAAAUGACCAUUGUAACCAUAAAGAUAUUAUUAUCUUAGCUCAGCAAAAUCAAAGGCCACUAAUCUAAUCUCCACCCACCUCACUGCCAAACCGCCCAUAUUUCUCACUCAACGGUACUCAAACACAAAAUACACACACACACGAGGAAGAAGAAGGGAGGAGGAAGCCGUGCUAUCGUUUCGCCUCGGCUCACCAACCAGCCGCGCCAUCGCUACCACGUCCCGCUGCCGUCGUGCCGCCACCUCCAGACGCCAUGGCCGCCACCAUUUGCGAAGAGGGAAGAGAGAGCUCGCGGGUGAGAGAGGGAGUGUCGCGCCAGCCAUUGCCUCUGCGCCACCGUCGUUGACGAGCUCAGCCGCCUCGCCAUUGUUGCCGCCGAGGGUUUUGCCGCUGUUGAGGAGAAGACGCUGUUGCGUUGGUUGUUGUCGUCGAGAGAGAAGCUGUCGGGUCGCACAGAGAGAGAGAGAGAGAGAGAAAGAGAGAGCACGAGGAGCAGAGGAGUGAAGGGAGACACGCGCCCAGCCACCGCCGCUUCUGCCACUGCCGUCAUCGGAAACGCUGCCGCCGUCGUCACCGGAGUUGCAGCUGCUUCGCUCUUGAUUUCUUUUGUGCAGUAAGUUACUUCUGCUUUGAAAACUCAUUUGUCGCUUUUCUGUAAUUGCCAUGAUGUAAGGAUGAUUUAUUUUUUACUUGUCCCAAUUAUGCUCUCAAUGGCUACUGAUCAAGUUUGAUUUUAGUAUAAAAAAAAUAUUUUAUGUACUCAUAUUUAUCUUGUAGAGCCAUUGCAUGAGAUUAACACAACUCUAUAUGGAAACUAUUUGAAUAUAAGAAAUUAAGAAUAGUGAUGAAAGUUAUCCUUUUUUGUGCUCAAGAGGUGGAGCUACAUGAAAUUGCUUGAUAAUAAUCACAUGAUGCUCUUUGCCCGUCGUCUGUCGCUGUGUUUGCUGCCAGCUUACCAUCUUCAAAGGUCAAUGCUCUGUUCGUGGCUCAUUGUAAUAAUGUAACAUUGUUAUUCAUUUUUUUGCUCUAUUCAUAAGGGUUAUUGAUCUUUGAAUUAUUCUUGAAUGAUUUGUGUUUUCAAUUUUUCAUUCAUUGAUUGUUGAUUAGCUCUUACUGCUGUCUGUGAUUAUUCAUGGUAAAUGUGCUGCUGUCCUGUUAUUCUUUGUGCUUUUGUGGCUUAAUUGUGAUUAAAUUGUGAUUGUCUUGAUCAAAUUAUUGAGGAUUGUUGCCUCCAGAUUUGGAUGCUCCAAUUGAAUAUCUAUAGUUUUUGUUUUCAUGAUUUGUUGGUUUGUUUGUGAUUAUUUAAAAUUUGGAAUGCUUUGGCUGGGUU